rnacentral:rRNA from 1 species
ACUCAAAGGAAUUGACGGGGGCCCGCACAAGCGGCGGAGCAUGUGGAUUAAUUCGAUGCAACGCGAAGAACCUUACCUGGGCUUGACAUGCACUCGACACUCCUAGAGAUAGGGGCUCCCUUGUGGUGGGUGUGCAGGUGGUGCAUGGCUGUCGUCAGCUCGUGUCGUGAGAUGUUGGGUUAAGUCCCGCAACGAGCGCAACCCUCGUUCCAUGUUGCCAGCACGUGAUGGUGGGGACUCAUGGGAGACUGCCGGGGUCAACUCGGAGGAAGGUGGGGAUGAGGUCAAGUCAUCAUGCCCCUUAUGUCCAGGGCUUCACACAUGCUACAAUGGCCGGUACAGAGGGUGGCGAGAUCGUGAGGUGGAGCGAAUCCCUUAAAGCCGGUCUCAGUUCGGAUCGGGGUCUGCAACUCGACCCCGUGAAGUCGGAGUCGCUAGUAAUCGCAGAUCAGCAACGCUGCGGUGAAUACGUUCCCGGGCCUUGUACACACCGCCCGU